CGCAAGCCUGAACGAGCGAUGCCGCGUGAGUGAAGAAGGCCUUCGGGUCGUAAAGCUCUGUUGCGGGGGGAAAAAAGGGCAGCAUCAGGAAAUGGGUGCUGACUGAUGGUGCCCCGCCAGAAAGUCACGGCUAACUACGUGCC
rnacentral:rRNA from 1 species